AGCGAACGCUGGCGGCAGGCCUAACACAUGCAAGUCGAACGAACUCUUCGGAGUUAGUGGCGGACGGGUGAGUAACACGUGGGAACGUGCCUUUAGGUUCGGAAUAACUCAGGGAAACUUGUGCUAAUACCGAAUGUGCCCUUCGGGGGAAAGAUUUAUCGCCUUUAGAGCGGCCCGCGUCUGAUUAGCUCGUUGGUGAGGUAAAGGCUCACCAAGGCGACGAUCAGUAGCUGGUCUGAGAGGAUGAUCAGCCACAUUGGGACUGGGACACGGCCCAUACUCCUACGGGGGGCAGCAGUGGGGAAUCUUGCGCAAUGGGCGAAAGCCUGACGCAGCCAUGCCGCGUGAAUGAUGAAGGUCUUAGGAUUGUAAAAUUCUUUCACCGGGGACGAUAAUGACGGUACCCGGAGAAGAAGCCCCGGCUAACUUCGUGCCAGCCGCCGCGGUAA
rnacentral:rRNA from 1 species